AGUGUCUCUAAGGCAGAGCAGCAGGUGCUUGGCUCUGCCAUCUCUGCUCAGACCUUUGAGAGGCCCUGUAGUGCCUGGAGGAUGGGGAGCUGUGCUUCUGCUUGUUAUCCAUGAGACGGCUUCCAGAACACGAACCCAGGAGUCUCUCUGAGCUCAGAAAUCAUCCUCCAGAUGCACAGUGUUCACCGGAAACAAUUCAGAAUGGCAGUGGUAUCCUGCAGGAUGUGUGCAGUUCAUUUGGCUGCGUGUUGAUUUGCACAGGGCUAUAUUAUAGAUUAUACAUUCUGGUAAUUGUGGUAUUAUUACUGGUAGGCUGUAUCUGAGCACAGGAAAUGCACAUAAGCACUUCUGAAGUGAUAAUAUCCACUCCUGCUUAAAAUGCAAUAUUUUAUCCCUGAUGAAAAAUGCAUACACAGUGCAGCAUUUGCAAGAGAAAUCAGAUGUUUUACUAAUUAGUACUUAGCAAGACUUCUAGGAAAAAGCUGAUUAAUCAUGGAGGACCUUGAUCAGUAUUUACAAACAAAUGCAGAUGAACUUUAUUCUUAAUGUCUUUAGAAAUGUCUCUGUGAGUGAGGUCUUGAUCCCAGAUGAAGGAGACACUACGUUUCCACCUGAAAGCAUGAGAGAUCAGUAUAGAUCUCACUGUCAUCAAAACCACAGUGCUAGGUUUCUAUCGAGAAGAAUGAGUAAUAACUAUUCCAGCUAUGCAGAAGACUUUGAGAGGCAAAUUCAUCUCACUGAUGAAGCAGACAAUAUUUAUACAUCCAACAAGAAAAUGAUCGCCCUUUAAAACCUCGUCCAUUUCUCCAUCUCUGUAAGAAAGCCCACCCCAUACCCAUGUGCCUGAAGUCCCUCUGUGCCUGCUUAUUGAACAGCGGGGUCCAGGAGCAGGCCAGCUCUCCAUCCUGCAUCCCCAGCCUCCUGCUGUGGCUCAGGAACAGGUUGACUCUAGCCUUGGUUUGGAGAGAGGCACCCACUGCUAAUCCUGCUUGGCAAAUGGUGCUUGGGGUGAUUCAGACCCUUCCCAUAACACCUCUCACAUUUCUCUGCAGCAGCUCAGGCUUCACACCUGUGUGUCUACCUGGGACUUGGGGGUGGUUCUGCCUAGGACGUGGAGGUUUAGUAUUUGUUUAUUUAUUUAUUAGCAUUAGGGAUAUGUUUGUCUUAUGAAUUUAGAAAUAAUACUGGUCAGAUUUAUUUCUGUUAUCAAACUAACAGUGAACAGAACUUCAGUUUUGUUAAAUCUCAUAUUUGCAACAUUUUGGAAAUAAUAAGGUAGGUGUUGCUUCUAAAUACAUAUUAAUAAUGCCUUUGCUUCUUGGAGUUUUCAUUAUACUAUUAUCUUGGAAGAGUCAUCUGUUUAUGUAAGCUCCGGCUUACCAGAUAAAUUGAAGAUACGUUUCAUUUUAAGUAUGGUCUUCUGUAUCUUCCCAAAUGGGAAUCUCUCCUCCAAAUUUAAACUUGCAAUAUCCUGUUUAACAAAGGAGCAGCUUCAACAGUACUUGGAGUGCUUACUGCUCUGCAAGUUUGUUAAGUUUGUUGCCGGGAUCAGAGCUUUAAAAGCAAAGGUCAGAUAAAGAUCCCUUCUUGGAACACAGUCGGAAAUGAGCUGUAAUGUUUAUUUUUUCUUCAUAAAUCUACUUAUUAAAUAGUUAAGUGAAUGAUGACUUUACUUUUAGAAUAAAUAAAUGUUUUUGUGUGCAUCGUGGGACAAUAAAUGUACACAUUGUGUUGAGCUGCAGACCUAACAUGGCAGCAACAUGUGAACCUUUCCACACCACAUGCACAUUUUGCUUUUCAUUAGGCAGCAAGAGAUGUUGCAUGAACAAUUUCACAACCUACAAAGGGGGUUGUAAUGUCUCUCUCUCUCUGUUUCACAUGGGGAAUAAAUUUCCUCACUCUUACAU
ensembl:lncRNA